GUGUCAACGCGUCAGACUGAGCUGGUCCACUCCUACGUGGCAAAUUCCACAGGUCCAAACUCCUCUUAAAGAUUUGAUCACAGCCGUCCGAAUCAUCCAAUAGAAGCCGACAUUUGCCCCUUCAAGUUCAACCUUUGUCUUGACCGUUUGUGGAAGUUAAAGAGUGAGAAACAAAAACAUUAGUCUUCCUUUAGCACAAGAGAGAGAAAGAAAGAAAAGAAAGUCUUCAUAUUUUUUGGCUUCUAAACAGCCACAGCUUCUGCUGCUGAUUUGAUUGUUUAGAGGGGUUUUUUCCCCACUGAUGUUCCAGAAUUGAGAUUGUGGUAUGUAUAACAGUUUCAGAUCAAAUGCCAUCUCUAAGAAUGAAGACCAAUUCAAGCACGGGUUCGUUAAGAGAAAAAAAUGGUCUCCACGUGUGUCAGAAGUCUAGUAUGAUUUGCAAAAGACCGUGCCGCCAUGUCAGGGUUUCUCAGCAAGGAGAUGAAUCCAGUAAAUGUAUUCAAAAUUCUUAUGAUGAUUCAUCAAAUGUAGAAGUGGCCUCACAAGUUUUUGAAACUUAUGAAGCCAGUGCUCAGCAACCAAUUUUGGAGGAAGACGAUUCUCAGCUUCAGAAAGAGCUUCCAGUUUUUGUUAAUUCUGCAACUGUGGGGAGAAUGGAAUCUUCCCACACCUGUGCGUCAAACUUAGAGACAAUAUUCUCUCCUUUUUUGGAGCCAAUUCAAAUCCACAGUGAACAAAAUAUUGACAAUGAUGCAGGGAGUAAUGAUGGCCCUGAAGUGCCAGCAUUAGGGGCUGAUGACAGUGAUGAUAACAAAAGCUCAUUUGGUAGUCAAACUUGUAAUUUAUCUGAUUUCUUUAUAUCUGACAUGAUAAUUGCAAGCAUACCCUUCGGUGGAAAUGCUGUUGAUGAUAAUAUCUUCGAGGCCAAUUCCUUUCCUGAUUUCAAGUGUUCUGAGUCAAGUAUGUUGUUUGAUGCGGCUGAGCAAUACAUGAUAUUACCUUUCCUUGAGGACACUGUCAAAGCCAAUGAUAUAAAUGAUGUUAAUUUGCAUGAGGAAGCCAUGAUGGUUCAAGACAAUACUGGUUUAUGUCUAGCAAUUGAUCAGAUGAGAUCCUGCAUACAGGAAACUGAUGUUAACUCUGACUUUGAUCCGCAAUCGUUUAUUAAAAAUUUACCAGAACUAUCUGAUGUUGUAUCAAGCUUUCGGCCUGUUAUGGUUCCAAAGGAGGCUUGGAGAAGGCAGGCCAUAACACUUGUGCUUGAUUUAGAUGAAACUCUUGUCCAUUCUACACUAGAAUACUGUGAUGAUGCUGACUUCACCUUUACAGUCUUUUUCAACAUGAAAGAACACAACGUGUAUGUAAAGCAGAGGCCUCACCUCCAGAAAUUUUUGAAGAAAGUUGCAGAGAUGUUUGAAGUUGUCAUCUUUACUGCAAGCCAAAGCAUUUAUGCAGAACAACUACUGGACAUAUUGGAUCCAGAUAGAAAGUUCAUAUCUCGGCGGUUUUAUUGUGAAUCAUGCAUUUUUUCAGAUGGAAGUUACACUAAAGAUUUGACGGUUUUAGGGGUUGAUCUAGCUAGAGUUGCUAUAAUUGAUAAUUCUCCUCAGGUUUUCAGGUUGCAAGAGAAUAAUGGUAUCCCUAUUAAGAGUUGGUUUGCUGAUACAUCUGAUUGUGCACUAAUUUCAUUACUUCCCUUCUUACAGACUCUGGUUGAUACUGAUGAUGUCCGUCCUAUCAUUGCCAAGAAAUUUGGAUCAGAAGAUGAUGUUAGGAACUCAAACUGCUAGACUGCUAUGCUUCAAAUAAAGUAAUGGAAAGACGAUUGUAGUAGUGACUCCUUGCCGUUGGAAAGGAGAAAUCAGUGAUAAAGCAUCUUCUUUGCUGGUAAUAAUGUUUCCUUACUCCGAGGAAGAUGGUGAAUUCCAAGUUUAACUUUUUCUUCUAUAAGAUUUUCUCCUCUAACUCAUAGAUAGGCUUAGGUGUAGAUCAAGUAUCCCAAGCCUCCCCUAUCGCUAAGUCACUGUUGUCAAGGUGUGCGCUUAGGUGCCCCUAGGCACUGCACCUUAGUGCCACACAAGAAAAGCUCCUCAAACUAGGGUGCAAAUGAAAAAUCAAUGCUCGUAAGUUAUUCGAGCUCAAAUUAGAUAAAACUCAAAUUCAACUUGGUCACUGUCAAGUUGAGCUCUAGCUCGAGUAGCUCAACUUAGUAAGUGAGCCGAGUUCGAGCUUCCUAAUGCUCGGCUUAAGUAGCUCAUAAGCCUAAUCGAGCUUUUAAAUUUUAAUAUAUUUUAGUAUUUUAAUUUAAAAAUUAUUAUUUUAUCCUUGAAAUCGAGUAUGAGAAGUGAGUUCAUUUUUUAUUAAACAAGCUUAAUUAAGUAAGCUCAAGUAGCUUAAUUUUUAUUUCAAGUUGAGCUGGAGCUUGAAAAUUAAAAUUCGAUUGAGCUCGAACCGAGUUUUGAGCAGUGAGUUUUAAGUCAAGCUCGAGUUUCUCACUGUAUCAAUUCGACAUAGCUCGAUUACACCCCUCCCUCGAACCCUUUCAAGUGAGGAGCAUUUGAUCAGGCACAUUCCUGGUGCAUCUAGGUGCACAUUUCUGUAAGGCGAUAGGCACAAAAAGGCUGGCCUGAUUGAAGUUCUCUUGCAUUUCUUUUUUUUUUUUUUUUCAUGAACUUUACCUUUAAUAGUAAAAAAGGACAAUAUCAAACUCUCUACUUAGAGAAACGUUACCUGAGCUUUAGAUCACUGAAUUUUAUGGUAGAAGAGUGGGUCAUUAUUGCAAAGAUAGAAGUCUUUUCUGAUUAGGCAGGUGAUUCAUAACUGAUUCAUACAUAUACGUUGCUGAUACUUAUGUUGUUUAAUACAUGAUCCUAAUGCAUUGAUUUCAUGCUUGUGCAUGUGAUAAUAUAUGUAAAACAUCUAGACUGCCAAAGUAUCUCCAUGUAUUAUCACUGUAAAGUGCAUCGUAUUGGAAUUAGUGACAUCUUUAAGAAGUGAUUGAGAGAUUUGAGGUAAGAUGGAAAUAUAGCCUUAGAGCCUUCGAGUAAACUAUGUUGUUUCUGAGAAGAUUUAGGUUUUGUGAUACUUGAGAUACGAGAGGAUUAGUGAUAUAUGGUAUCCAAUUAGGUUAUUUACUCAACCUGCUUAUGCAACACUUAGACCUGUGCCAUAAAUGACAGGUUGCACCAGGUUGUGUGCAAGAAUCUAGAUAGAAAAACUUAAGAUAGGAAUGGACCCGAAGCCAGAAACAAUGAGAUAAUCUGGGGUUCGACGGCGCAAGAUUUUUCUCAAUGGGAGCUACCUCCUGGUUAGGUGGCUCCUUCAGCUUGGGUUAGUGGUUAUAAGCAGAUUAUGGGGUGAAGAUCAUAUUGCCUCCUGCAAAGUUGGAGAAUUCAGGAGAAAAAGUUAGCUACACUACUUGUCAUAACAUCUGUUGAAUCCUUCGAUAAUCUUUACAGUUUUACAAUUUUGAAUGCCUUACCUGCAGGUCUUAUGAUGAACAAUACUAGAUUAUCUGCUAAUGGCAAAAUAAUAGUGACAAUAACAACAAAUUGAGUGAUGGAUGUAAUUUUGAGAUGAUAAAGAUAAUUGUAAUUUAUAUUUUCAUGUUAUUUUGUCUCCAAAAUCCCUGUCUAUGUAUAGGGUAGGAGGUGACUUAGUUCUGCUUUUAGAGGUUAGCACAGUUAUUUGGUAUGCUUUGAACUGUGGAAACGUUUCACUCAACUGCUAAUUUUUUUAUGAAAAUGUAUAUUUUAAGUUAUUUUGUACCAAAUUACAUUUGGUAUUUGAAUUCUUGUAAUUUCUUCACUACCACUUCAUAUUUAUUAAUGCUCUGAUCGAGUUUGUCUUUGUAUGUUUAAUUUUAGUUGCAUUUUGGGUCUCAUUAUCAAACAAAUU